GUGUCUCCUCUCGGGGUGCAGCAGUCGCACCCCUCGC
rnacentral:ribozyme from 1 species